rnacentral:rRNA from 1 species
AUUGAACGCUGGCGGCAAGCCUAACACAUGCAAGUCGAACGAGUGGCGGACGGGUGAGUAAUGUCUGGGAAACUGCCUGAUGGAGGGGGAUAACUACUGGAACCGGUAGCUAAUACCGCAUACCAUCGGAUGUGCCCAGAUGGGAUUAGCUAGUAGGUGGGGUAAAGGCUCACCAAGGCGACGAUCCCUAGCUGGUCUGAGAGGAUGACCGGCCACACGGGGACUGAGACACGGCCCAGACUCCUACGGGAGGCAGCAGUGGGGAAUCGUCGGCAAUGGGCGAAAGCCUGAUCGAGCCACGCCGCGUGAAUGAAGAAGGUCUUCGGGUCGUAAAGCUCUGUUGGUGGAGAGGCGUUAUCUGCAGAAGAAGCAACGGCUAACUCCGUGCCAGCAGCCGCGGUAAUAC